GACGAACGCUGGCGGCGUGCCUAACACAUGCAAGUCGAGCGAAUGAAGUUCCUUCGGGAAUGGAUUUAGCGGCGGACGGGUGAGUAACACGUGGGCAACCUGCCUCAUAGAGGGGAAUAGCCUUCCGAAAGGGAGAUUAAUACCGCAUAAGAUUGUAGUAUCGCAUGAUACAGCAAUUAAAGGAGCAAUCCGCUAUGAGAUGGGCCCGCGGCGCAUUAGCUAGUUGGUGAGGUAACGGCUCACCAAGGCGACGAUGCGUAGCCGACCUGAGAGGGUGAUCGGCCACAUUGGGACUGAGACACGGCCCAGACUCCUACGGGAGGCAGCAGUGGGGAUUAUUGCACAAUGGGGGAAACCCUGAUGCAGCAACGCCGCGUGAGUGAUGACGGCCUUCGGGUUGUAAAGCUCUGUCUUCAGGGACGAUAAUGACGGUACCUGAGGAGGAAGCCACGGCUAACUACGUG
rnacentral:rRNA from 1 species